GCCUACCAAGGCGACGACGGGUAGCCGGCCUGAGAGGGCGACCGGCCACACUGGGACUGAGAUACGGACCAGACUCCUACGGGAGGCAGCAGUGGGGAAUCUUAGACAAUGGGCGCAAGCCUGAUCUAGCCAUGCCGCGUGUGUGAUGAAGGCCUUAGGGUCGUAAAGCACUUUCGCCAGGGAUGAUAAUGACAGUACCUGGUAAAGAAACCCCGGCUAACUCCGUGCCAGCAGCCGCGGUAAUACGGAGG
rnacentral:rRNA from 1 species